rnacentral:rRNA from 1 species
UACACUCCUACGGGAGGCAGCAGUGAGGAAUAUUGGACAAUGGGUGGAAGCCUGAUCCAGCCAUCCCGCGUGCAGGUAGACGGCCCUAUGGGUUGUAAACUGCUUUUAUCUGGGGAUAAACCUACUUACGUGUAAGUAGCUGAAGGUACCAGAAGAAUAAGCACCGGCUAACUCCGUGCCAGCAGCCGCGGUAAUACGGAGGGUGCAAGCGUUAUCCGGAUUUAUUGGGUUUAAAGGGUCCGUAGGCGGACUGAUAAGUCAGUGGUGAAAUCCGACAGCUUAACUGUCGAACUGCCAUUGAUACUGUUAGUCUUGAGUAAGGUUGAAGUGGCUGGAAUAAGUAGUGUAGCGGUGAAAUGCAUAGAUAUUACUUAGAACACCAAUUGCGAAGGCAGGUCACUAAGUCUUAACUGACGCUGAUGGACGAAAGCGUGGGGAGCGAACAGGAUUAGAAACCCGAGUAGUCCCA